rnacentral:rRNA from 1 species
CNGCCUUUCGGGUGCGAUUCUGUGGAGUGUGAGGAGCUUAACACCUUCAUGCUUUGCAUAUUUGUGCUCUUGGGUGUACUUGCCCGUGUGGUUGGUUAACAUCAAUUUUGAUUAUCAUAAAAUGACUGGAGGAAUGUAGCUUCGAUCUCGUAUUGAAGUGUUAUAGCCUUCGGUAGAUGUGAUGAUCGAGAUUGAGGAUUGCAACGGAUACCCUUCGGGGCUACCUGUCUGGUCUCUGAUCGUUGCUCUGGUGCCGAAAGCGUGCUUACGGUUAUCAAAGUCGAUGGUCAAUAGGUUAGAACGGGUUAAAUUCGUUANNNNNNUUGACGUA